ensembl:lncRNA
AUGACCGGGAGAAGGAUGGGGCCAUUAACAGAAAAUAAGACAACCAGGAGGAGGAGCAGGUGGGCGGGAAAAGGCAGUAAAAGGAUGCUUUUCAUUUUGGACACUUUGAAUUGCAGGUGCCCCCAAAAGCUGUCCGGUGCGCACGGAGAAGGAGCUGGGUGCGAAAAGCAGAGGCUGCCGAGGCGUCGGCGGAGAGGAUCCAGCGGUAACCGUGGGAGCGGGGGAGAUCGGGGGAGAUCGCGGGGCAGGGAAGAGAGAGGACCGGAGACCGGAGCCAGAGCCUCGAGGAACGCGGGCACCACGGGAGGAGAACCAGCAGCUGUUGGAGACACAAAAGAGAAACUGGGGAAGUGCAGCCUGGCGCAGGCGAGGGGGCGGUUUCAAGGGGGAGGUGAUCCGCAGGACCAGAUGCUUCGGAGGUCCGGUGGGACGAGGUCUGAAAAACGAGCCCGCGGGAUUUGGCAACAGGAGGUCACAAGAGACCUCCGAGGGCGCAGCGACGGUGACGCUGCCCCGGGAAUCCAGAUGGUGCCUGGGCUGCAGUACAGGUCCAGCCACGGUUCUGUGCUAUCCCAUGGCCAUGGAUCAGGGGCACGAGCUGACCAAGAACGUGAGCAAGCCAACACACAGCUGUGACCUCGGGUGCCUCAUCAGGCACACCACGCACCUGUGGGACACCAUCCAAGGGUCUGCAGUGUUGCUCUAAGUGGUACGUGAACUGCACGCCAUGGAGCUGCUCAAGGUCUCCAAGGACAGGCAGGCCUUCAAGUUCAUCAAGAAAAUAGCAGAGACACGUAUCUGCGCCAAGAGGAAACAAGAGAACUGAGUGGUGUUCUGGCCACCAUGAGGAAAGCAGCUGCCGAGAGGACCAAGCCCCCUCCCCACUGCACGUGAUAAAAGUCUUACAGAAAAAACAAACUAGCAAGAAAGAACUCAAACACACAGCCCAGUAACACAUAAGUCAGAAGAUGGGUGAUGGGAAUUAUAGUGUUUUAACGUCCUUACCGUGUUUGGAAGAAGGCAAAAGAAUGAAGAUCCACUUUGGAUGAGUUAAGUAUGCAAGAUACAUUUUUAGAUCAACUACUGAAAGUCUAGGAAUAGAAUACUUAGCUUCCACGCUAAUAGAGGAAGAAACAUGAAGUGAUAAAAAGUAAUUUGAAAAAAGUUAAAAGACAAGAGGGAAAUAAGCAUAAAAAGGGAGAACCAAAUACAGUUGACCCUUGAACAACACAGGACUUAGGGGUGCUGACCCCCCCCAACGCAGUCAAAAAUCCACGUAUAAUUUUUGACUCCCCCAAAACUCCACUACUAAUAGUCUACGGUUGACCAGAAGCCUGACUGAUAACAUAAACAGUCGAUGAACGCUUAUCUUUUGACUUGUGUCACUUCUUUUUUUUUUUUUUUUUAAGAUUUUAUUUAUUUAUUUGACAGAGACAGCCAGCGAGAGAGGGAACACAAGCAGGGGGAGUGGGAGAGGAAGAAGCAGGCUCCCAGCGGAGGAGCCUGAUGUGGGACUCGAUCCCAGAUCGCCGGGAUCACGCCCUGAGCCGAAGGCAGACGCUUAACGACUGCGCUACCCAGGCGCCCCUGACUUGUGUCACUUCUAUGCUGGAAUAUUUCAUUUCCAAUGUGAGACGGUCCAGGGCUGGCUUCUGCUGUGAUGGUCAUGGGAGCCUGUGUUGAGAUGGUGCCUGGGUCCCCGAGUCACUAAAUGGGCAACUGGCAUUGGACAUACAAUGUGACCAAGAAAUAAACCUUCGUUGUUUAAAAAAAAAAACA